rnacentral:lncRNA from 1 species
UUUGAGAGCUUCCACUGCCCCCACGCUUGCUGCCACAAUCAAAGAAACCCUCCUCGCAGAGGCCAUCUGUUUCUCUUUCUCUCUGAUACUGUGAACCAAAAGGUUGAAACAAGAAGAGUGCUUUGGUGAGUUUGCUGGAAGCGGUUGAUAUAUAAAGCCAUGAUAAAGAAGGGAUAAGAAUUGUUGGAAUGGGAGAAAACCGGGGGUGAGCUGCUGCUUGUUUUCCCUACUGGGCCCCGC